AAACAGUAGGGGAGAAAACAUGAUCACAAAGGUGGUUUUCCCAGGGCUAAUUUUAUUCAUUGCACUCCAGAUGUGCUGAGCUCUGAUGUUUUCCCAAGUGUAGGAAACUUGACUGCAUAAUUUCUGGUAGUGAGGAAUUAUCUUCACGCUCUCCCUUA